AUCGCUUCUCGGCCUUUUGGCUAAGAUCAAGUGUAGUAUCUGUUCUUAUCAGUUUAAUAUCUGAUACGUCCCCUACCCAGGACCAUAUAUUAAAUAGAUUUUUGGAACAGGGAGAUGGAAUAGGGGCUUGCUCCGUCCACUCCACGCAUCGACCUGGUAUUGCAGUAUCUCCAGGAACGGUGCACUCCCU
rnacentral:snRNA from 1 species